rnacentral:rRNA from 1 species
AUUGAACGCUGGCGGCAGGCCUAACACAUGCAAGUCGAGCGAGCGGCGGACGGGUGAGUAAUGUAUGGGGACUGCCCGAUAGAGGGGGAUAACUACUGGAAACGGUGGCUAAUACCGCAUACUGUCGGAUAACCCAUAUGGGAUUAGCUAGUAGGUAAGGUAAUGGCUGACCUAGGCGACGAUCCCUAGCUGGUCUGAGAGGAUGAUCAGCCACACGGGGACUGAGAAACGGCCAAGAUUCUUACGGAGGAAGCAGUGGGGAAUAUUGGACAAGGGGGGAAAGCCUGAUGCAGAAAUGCCGGGUGUCUGAAGAAGGCCUUGGGGUUGUAAAGGACUUUUGUCAGGGAAGCGGUACCUGAAGAAUAAGCACCGGCUAACUACGUGCCAGCAGCCGCGGUAAUAC